CCUUCGGGGUUAGCGGCGGACGGGUGAGUAACACGUAGGCAACCUGCCUGUAAGACUGGGAUAACUGCCGGAAACGGUAGCUAAGACCGGAUAAGUGAUUCUCUUGCAUGAGAGGAUCAAGAAACACGGGGCAACCUGUGGCUUACAGAUGGGCCUGCGGCGCAUUAGCUAGUUGGUGGGGUAACGGCUCACCAAGGCGACGAUGCGUAGCCGACCUGAGAGGGUGAUCGGCCACGCUGGGACUGAGACACGGCCCAGACUCCUACGGGAGGCAGCAGUAGGGAAUCUUCCGCAAUGGACGCAAGUCUGACGGAGCAACGCCGCGUGAGUGAUGAAGGUUUUCGGAUCGUAAAGCUCUGUUGCCAGGGAAGAACGUCGCGGAGAGUAACUGCUCUGCGAAUGACGGUACCUGAGAAGAAAGCCCCGGCUAACUACGUGCCAGCAGCCGCGGUAAUACG
rnacentral:rRNA from 1 species